UGGGGAAUAUUGCACAAUGGGCGAAAGCCUGAUGCAGCAACGCCGCGUGAGUGAUGAAGGCCUUCGGGUUGUAAAGCUCUGUCUUUUGGGACGAUAAUGACGGUACCAAAGGAGGAAGCCACGGCUAACUACGUGCCAGCAGCCGCGGUAAUACGUAGGUGGCAAGCGUUGUCCGGAUUUACUGGGCGUAAAGGAUGCGUAGGCGGAUUUUUAAGUGAGAUGUGAAAACCCUAAGCUUAACUUGGGGACUGCAUUUCAUACUGGAAAUCUAGAGUGCGGGAGAGGAGAAUGGAAUUCCUAGUGUAGCGGUGAAAUGCGUAGAGAUUAGGAAGAACACCAGUGGCGAAGGCGAUUCUCUGGACCGUAACUGACGCUGAGGCAUGAAAGCGUGGGUAGCAAAACAGGAUUAGAUACCCUGGUAGUCCACGCCGUAAACGAUGAGUACUAGGUGUAGGAGGUAUCGACCCCUUCUGUGCCGCAGUUAACACAAUAAGUACUCCGCCUGGGAAGUACGAUCGCAAAGAUUAAAAACUUAAAAGGAAAUUGACGGGGGUCAUAGCUGUUUCCU
rnacentral:rRNA from 1 species